AUGAAAGCCACCCCCAGCGAGCCCCCCCCGCCUGCGGCGGUGGCCGAGGGGACCCGCGGGCGGGGCUCCCAUGACUCCGGGAAGAGACAGCCAGGGAUCCCACGGUGGCGGACCGCUACCCAGGCAAACCCCGGCCACCCGUCAGAGGUUUUUGUACGACGGUUUCAUCAGUUUGUAUCACUGUGGUUCACGUUUGGUGGAGGAACCAGACUGGAUGUUGGAAGUGAUGUCCGUCCCUCCCUGACAGUCCUGUCCAGUGGGGAGCUGCAGCAGGGGACGGCCACACUCAUGUGUCUGGCCAACAAGGGCUUCCCCUCAGACUGGAGUCUGUCCUGGAAGGUGGACGGCAGCAGCAGCAGCAGCAGCUGGGAGGAGAGCAGGAGCCCCGGGGUGCUGCAGGAGGACGGCCACUACAGCUGGAGCAGCACCCUGAGACUCCCUGCAGACCAGUGGACCAAGGUGCUCUCUGUGACCUGUGAGGCCACCCAGGGCUCCCAGACUCCAGUCUCAGAGACCCUGAGGAGAGACCAGUGCUCCCAGUCCUGA